AGUUGGUGCCUGGAAGUGAGUGAACCUGGUAGUUUUAGCGAUUGGCUAAGGGUUGUGGAAAAAGAAUUUCAAGCAAGGUUGGAGAACGACUAUUGGCGAUAACGUUUUUCUAUGAUUAUCCGUGGUUCAUGAAAGCAGCAUUAUUGUUGUGAGGUUUCUACAAGACAGGAGAUUGUGCUGAUACCUGGCUCCAAAUUUUACAUUAGAAAUACCGAAUGAAAGAGAACAAGAGUACUAACUGGAGACAUAAUGGGAUCAGCCGUUUGCUGCAAGGAUAAUUACAAUAAAUAGCAGGAAGAGUGGGAAACUAGGAAGAAAAAUCCAAUGAGGUAAGACACCCUUGCAGAUAAAUCUUUAAUUUGGUGAAAACCAGGGUAUGGUGAAAAUUUUAUGGAGAUUCAAGGACAGUGCUCCAACCAAAAGUUGCAGGGUAGACACUAACUGAAGUUAAGAUGGAUUGAAAGUCUGAUGGAGUGUGGGAGUAUUUUAUUGGAUAAGCAGGAGUCCUAACCAAGCAGCAGUCUUAACCAGUUGAGGUAGUCAAUCAAGAUAUUUAUACUGGCAUAAAUCUGAAGAGAAGGAAGCUCUGGAGCAGAAAUCACCACUGGAAAUUCUUUUACCGAUUGAGAACCAGGAUUAGUGGAGCAUUCUUAAGUGGUACUCAUAUGACAAGGGAAGGCAAACUGCUGAGAGCUGAUGUGGGAGAGCUGGCUCAAUUGUAGUGCAACAAGGUGAUUACAAGUCUGGAAAUGUUGAAACCUUAGCUGAAGUAGUCCCAACCUGUAGUUGCUGUACUGAAAGAAGACCAGGAAUUUGCAUAACACAUGAAUAAAUACUGGAACUCUAUGUCCUGUUGAAAAACCUCGGCAGAAGUGUAGUAGGAGGCAUGAUGAUAUAACUUGAAAUCAAAAGGCACUGGUUUAUCCAAGCUGCUGUUAAUUAUUUACUAUUACUUUAGUUAACAAAUCUGGACUGGAUGGAAGAAUAUAUUUAUUAAUCCAUUAGAAUAAAACUACUAUGUAAUUUUUAGAAUACAAUAAUUUUUAGAAUAAUUCUAUUGUUAGAAUUAUUCUAACUUUUGGGUUCUUACAUGGUAUAAUUGAGUAGGACUUCAGCCGUUUGCAUUCUGGCUUGGGCUCCACAAAUAACAUGCACCUUUCAACCUGGUGCUUUCAGUUUUAAAUUACAUUUCAACCUGGUAAAAAAGAAACUCCAAUGCACUAAACACAUUCAUUCAAUCUUUUUGGAUUCCCUUAUCACUGCAAAGCCUUAACUGUAGCAGGAUUCAAACCUACAUUCAGUACGCACAAUGUUACGUUAACCCACCUGCCACGUGGCCUGGUAAGUUAACACAACCUUGUUCUGACAUAUAGGUACCUACUGAAAGGAGGUUUUGAAUCCUGCUACAAUCAUCGUAUCAUUUCUCUUCACUUGGUUCUUACAUCUUUGUAGUGACAAACAUAACCAAAAGUGAAGAAAUUUACUAAGUAAUAGGAUAAUCCUAUUUUUAUAAAUACAUGCAUAUGUAGCAAAAAAAAAAAAAAAAAAAAGUAACUAGUAAAUUCUAAGCUGAAUUAACAUUUAAAAACAUGGUAGUAUACUAUCAAAAUUAGUGUGUUCACUAUACCAGUCACAUAUUUCUCAAGAAGAUAGUGCCUAUUGUAUGAAGAAUCUGGUGCAUCAGCAAAAUAAUCUGCGGUGGCAAAGUAACUGUUCCCCCCCGAAAUUUUAGAUAACUUGAACUUCUGUUAAACUGCAUUUCUCUUUUGUGUUAUACCUUCAUUACUCAUGCACAAGGGUAACAAACUAAAGGAUAAAUCCCAAACAUCAAGAAAUUAAAAAAAGUGGAUUAUGGUCAAUAGUACUACUGACAACCAUGUGGGGAAAACUAUUAUAAUGCCAACAUUGCAAAGGUUUGCCAGAAUAAUGCCAACAGUGAAAUGUCAAAAGUUUGCCAGGUGAAAUGAAAAAUUAAUGUUGGUACAAG